UACGGGGGGUGCGAGCGUUGUCCGGAAUCACUGGGCGUAAAGGGCGCGUAGGUGGUUUGAUAAGGGUGUGGUGAAAGUCCGGAGCUCAACUCCGGAUCUGCCGUGCCGACUGUCAAACUCGAGGGCUGUAGAGGCAGACGGGAUUCCGGGUGUAGCGGUGGAAUGCGUAGAGAUCCGGAGGAAGACCGGUGGCGAAGGCGGUCUGCUGGGCAGUUUCUGACACUGAGGCGCGACAGCGUGGGGAGCAAACAGG
rnacentral:rRNA from 1 species